rnacentral:rRNA from 1 species
UACGUAGGGGGCGAGCGUUGUCCGGAUUUAUUGGGCGUAAAGAGCGUGUAGGCGGUCAGGUAGGUCCGUUGUGAAAACUCGAGGCUCAACCUCGAGACGCCGAUGGAAACCAUCUGACUAGAGUCCGGAAGAGGAGAGUGGAAUUCCUGGUGUAGCGGUGAAAUGCGCAGAUAUCAGGAGGAACACCGGUGGCGAAGGCGGAUCUCUGGGCCAUUACUGACGCUGAGGAGCGAAAGCGUGGGGAGCGAACAGG